AUACGGAGGGAGCGAGCGUUAAUCGGAAUUACUGGGCGUAAAGCGCGCGUAGGCGGCUUUGUAAGUCUGAUGUGAAAGCCCCGGGCUCAACCUGGGAAUUGCAUUCGAUACUGCAGAGCUAGAGUAUGGUAGAGGGAAGUGGAAUUUCCGGUGUAGCGGUGAAAUGCGUAGAUAUCGGAAGGAACACCAGUGGCGAAGGCGACUUCCUGGCCCAAUACUGACACUGAGGCGCGAAAGCGUGGGUAGCGAACAGGAUUAGAAACCCCGGUAGUCC
rnacentral:rRNA from 1 species